rnacentral:rRNA from 1 species
CCUACGGGUGGCAGCAGUGGGGAAUAUUGCGCAAUGGGCGAAAGCCUGACGCAGCGACGCCGCGUGAGGGAUGAAGGUCUUCGGAUCGUAAACCUCUGUCAGCAGGGAAGAACGGUCACUGUGCUAAUCAGCAGUGAAUUGACGGUACCUGCAAAGGAAGCACCGGCUAACUCCGUGCCAGCAGCCGCGGUAAGACGGAGGGUGCGAGCGUUAUCCGGAUUUAUUGGGUUUAAAGGGUGCGUAGGCGGUAUUUGAAGUUAGUGGUAAAACGUCGGGGCUUCACCUUGAUUGGCCAUUCAAACUGGAGUACUAGAGUACAGACGAGGUAGGCGGAAUCAGUUCCGUAGCGGUGAACUGCUUAGCUAUAACUUAGAACCCCGAUCGCGAAGGCAGCUUACCAGACUGUUACUGACGCUGACGCACG